rnacentral:lncRNA from 1 species
AUAAAGGAAUCCAAAGAGCAAAAAAUAUAUAUAUAUGUCACUGUGCUUGUUUUUCGAGAUAUUAGCCAUUGAAAUUUUGGCGGGAAAAUAUUCUCUCUUGACUUUUCAUAGCUUUAUCAUUGACAAGUUGAAGUUCUCAAAAACUGUUAAAAAGUAAUUACAAUUUUAUAAGACUUUUACAGAUGGCUUAUCAUUAUAUAUGUAAAAGAUUUACAAAAAGAAAAAUGGGGGUCACCGGGCAGAUUUUUUCAACACAUUCAAAUGGAUAAAACCAGAGGAUUCCGAAAAUCUGACAAAAAAUCCAAAACAUGACAAGCCAGCUUCCUUAAACAAAUUUUUUUCAACGCAUUCAAAUGGAUAAAACCAGAGGAUUCCGAAAAUCUGACAAAAAAUCCAAAACAUGACAAGCCAGCUUCCUUAAACA